GUUCUAUUACCAAGAGGGAAAACAGGAAUGGGGGAAACCAGCGGUCUCUAACACAACUCUGGUUUUUUGCAAAACCUGCUCUAUUCAAAUCAAAGCCCUUCGUAAGAAGUGUAAAGAAAGGUGGCUGAUAGAGAAGGGGGAAUUUGAAACAGGAAGAGCAAGACAAAGAAGGACAAGGGGGAGAGUAAGGCCGCACAGAUGGGUUCUUAGAUUUUGUUCGCUUCUGGUCAGCUUGUUAUGAGGUUGACAAGGAGGGUAGGGGCACAGGAAUCACGGCCAGCGGGCUUCCUUCUCUGUCGCCAUUUACAAAGGAGUGCGAGAUACUGGCAUCUCCCUUUCCGCGCUCUCUCUGCUCAGCCUAAUGCAGGGCACCAACAGCUAAGUAGGAGUGGGUGGGGCCACUGGAAGGAUUCACCAGGGACAGUCCCGGGAUCUCAGAGGAGCCGCCUGGCAUUGCUUCUGAGCUCUGCUUAGACGGUGCAAUUGGAUCUUGUCUCUGCAGCCACACCCCGUCCCCAGCCGAUGGUCCCCUCUGUCCCAGAUAACUUUGCCCUCCCCCCAUCUUCUCCUCCUGCACUCGAGGGUGGGGCGUGGGAAGGAAACGGCCUUUCUGCCUCUCUCUUGGCUCCCUGAGCAGCAGCAGCAGCUGCAGUUUUCCGAGUUAGGUGCUUGGAAGGGUGGAACACCUGGCUCAGCUUAAACCCUUUGGGUCUAGCCCCUAACCCUUUUGAGAGACGUGGUCGGAUCCCUUUGGGAAACUAUAGGAUCAGAACAAAUUUUAUCUGAGUCACUUUGGUGCAUUUUAAGUCAGUGAUUGUGGGGUUUUCAGUGAGAUUGUUUUUGCUGUUUCAUGUGGUUUUGUUUAUAAACAGACUGUAUUCGAGAGUUUUUAAAUCAAGUAUCUGUUAGACUAUCGCAGUUCUAGCUUAGGUUGCUGAAUUACUUUGAUGUCAUCUAUAAUUCUUCGCCUUCCCAGAGUGCAUAUGCACGUUGAAUUAAUUCAUCUCCCCGCUCCAACCGGAUCACCAAUUCCAUGGCAGGCAGGAACUUCUUUCAUCUUUGUACCCACCUUUGCCUUGGCAACCCCAACACCUGGCCCGAUUCUUCAUGGGUGACCGCAUCAGGGGAAUUAGUUCACGGCUUCAAAGGACCUGCUUUGAAGAACAACCCUCAUCCGGAAGCCUUAGACCUGGUAUAUUUGUUGCAAGGAGGAAAACAGGUUUCAUUGUUUUCAGUCACAUCGCAUUAUGAAGUUCUGGAAUGUUCCAAGUAUAUCUUGUCCAUCAACUAGGCCAACCUUUCUCAUGAAGAAACCGAGACACAGACAACUUACAGGACUUAUUCAAAUCAUUAGUUUAUCAUCAAGGCAUAACUGAACUCACGUCUUCUGAUUCCCUCAAUCUUCAGCUAGUAUUUUUUUUUCUACUACCGUACUGCAUUGCCUCUAGAGACUGCUAAAAACAAGCAAAGAAACAAUGCCUUAUUGAUUGAUUGAUUGAUUGAUUGAUUAGGAGACUUCUUUGACGAAUGAGUAAAAAAAGUCAAUUCCGAGAGGUGGCCAUUACACUUAAAGAUUUGUAAUAAAAGAGUUUCUUUUUCUGACCCAGAUGAACUUUGUAAAAAUGAACAGUAUAAAACUUAACUCAUAUCAUCCAAAAAAUUUUGGCUCUUACUCUCUAGCACCUUAGUAGCUAGGUAUUUUCAAUGAUUUAACUUAGAAAAAUAGCGUCUGG
rnacentral:lncRNA from 1 species